rnacentral:rRNA from 1 species
AUGCGCUAUGAUGAGCGAUACACACCGUAUGUAAGGGAGACAGGACUUCUCCCUUUCAUUCAUAUGGUCAAACGGUCGAUGCCACCCAACAAUGCUCCAGCACUCACCGCGCUUAUUGAUCAUUGGCGGCCGGAGACACAUAGUUUCCAUCUACGGACCGGGGAGAUGACAGUGACGCUCCAGGAUAUUUCUAUGAUCACCGGUCUUCCUAUCGAUGGGAAUCCUCUAUGUAUGAGCACCGAUUCCGAUGGGUGGCACGCGCAGAUGCAUGCCCUUAUCGGUAUGGUUCCUCCGGAGCCUCCGGAACCAGCAGCAGAAAACAAGAAGAAGGAAAGAGUCACAGACUAUGUUUGCUGA